CCCGCUGAACUUAAGCAUAUCAAUAAGCGGAGGAAAAGAAACCAACAGGGAUUGCCUCAGUAACGGCGAGUGAAGCGGCAACAGCUCAAAUUUGAAAUCUGCCUCUAGGCCGAGUUGUAAUUUGUAGAAGAUGCUUUGGGUGUGGCACUGGUCUAAGUUCCUUGGAACAGGACGUCAUAGAGGGUGAGAAUCCCGUACGUGACUGGCUGCCUUCGCCCGUGUAAAGCCCUUUCAACGAGUCGAGUUGUUUGGGAAUGCAGCUCAAAAUGGGUGGUAUAUUUCAUCUAAAGCUAAAUACUGGCCAGAGACCGAUAGCGCACAAGUAGAGUGAUCGAAAGAUGAAAAGCACUUUGGAAAGAGAGUUAAAUAGUACGUGAAAUUGUUGAAAGGGAAGCGCUUGCAACCAGACUUGCGUGCGGCUGAUCAUCUGGCGUUCUCGCCGGUGCACUCGGCCGCACACAGGCCAGCAUCGGUUCUAGUGGCUAGACAAAGGCUCUGGGAAUGUGGCUUCCUUCGGGGAGUGUUAUAGCCCUCGGUGCAAUGUAGCCUACUGGGAUCGAGGACCGCGCUCUGGCUAGGAUGCUGGCGUAAUGGUUGUAAGCGGCCCGUCUUGAAACACGG
rnacentral:rRNA from 1 species